CCUACGGGAGGCAGCAGUGGGGAAUAUUGCACAAUGGGGGAAACCCUGAUGCAGCGACGCCGCGUGAGUGAAGAAGUAAUUCGUUAUGUAAAGCUCUAUCAGCAGGGAAGAAAAUGACGGUACCUGAGUAAGAAGCCCCGGCUAACUACGUGCCAGCAGCCGCGGUAAUACGUAGGGGGCAAGCGUUAUCCGGAUUUACUGGGUGUAAAGGGAGCGUAGACGGCAGUGCAAGUCUGGAGUGAAAGGCGGGGGCUCAACCCCCGGACUGCUCUGGAAACUGUACGGCUGGAGUGCAGGAGAGGUAAGUGGAAUUCCUAGUGUAGCGGUAAAAUGCGUAGAUAUAUGGAAGAACAUCAGUGGCGAAGGCGGCCGCCUGGCCUGUUAACUGACGCUGAGGCACGAAAGCGUGGGGAGCAAAUAGGAUUAGAUACCCUUGUAGUC
rnacentral:rRNA from 1 species